rnacentral:lncRNA from 1 species
UAUUUUACAACUAUGAAGCUUCAACAAUGUAGAACCAUGAGAUUCCAUGAAAAUAUGGUUCAAGAUUUCUGACCAAGAACAUAACCAAGUAAUUGAGAAUCCAAUCACAUUAGGAUCGAGAUUCCGAUAUAUCGCAUUGUCAUGGCUUCAAAUCAAGAUUUCAAGGUGGAGUCAUUAACAUUUACUCUCCAGCUUGAGGGGGAC